rnacentral:misc_RNA from 1 species
AUGGGAGAGAAGAAGAUGCCCAUGAAUUCUUAAGGUAUGCUGUUGAUACAAUGCAGUCUAUAUGCCUCAAGGAUGCUGGAGCUCUGGGCAGAUUGGCAGAAGAAACAACUCUAGUGGGACUGACUUUUGGGGGUUAUCUUCGAUCUAAGAUAACUUGCAUGAGCUGCCUUGGGAAAUCUGAGAGAUAUGAACGGAUAAUGGAUUUAACUGUUGAGAUAGCUGGGGACAUUGAGACUCUUGAAGAAGCUCUUACACAAUUUACAGCUGAUGAAUUGUUGGAUGGAGAGAACAAGUACAAUUGCAGCAGGUGUAAAUCUUAUGUGAAAGCGAAAAAGAAGUUAACAGUAUUAGAGGCACCG